rnacentral:lncRNA from 1 species
GCCCUGUAUUGGGAAAGCAAAAUAUUCUAGACAGUAGGGCUUCGGUUACAACCACUUAAACAUCCUUGACCCAUCCCACCAAGGCACCGUCUCCCCUUACUACGGUGCUGAAAAAUUUCCUAACUAGGCUUGGGUAUGUAGGGACGUUCAGUGAGCAGAGAAGUUCUAGACCUAGGGCUUUUAGAUGAUUUCCUAGGCUAAAUUCCUCGCGAGAAAGGAAGUGGAAAUCA